rnacentral:rRNA from 1 species
GACGAACGCUGGCGGCGUGCUUAACACAUGCAAGUCGAACGGAAAGGCCCUGCUUUUGUGGGGUUCUCGAGUGGCGAACGGGUGAGUAACACGUGAGUAACCUGCCCUUGACUUUGGGAUAACUUCAGGAAAGUGGGGUUAAUCCCGGAUCGGAUCCCCUGCUGCAUGGUGGGGGUGGGAAAGUUUCGGCGGUUGUGGAUGGACUCGCGGCUUAUCAGCUUGUUGGUGGGGUAGUGGCUUACCAAGCCUUUGACGGGUAGCCGGCCUGAGAGGGGGACCGGCCACAUUGGGACUGAGAUACGGCCCAGACUCCUACGGGAGGCAGCAGUGGGGAAUAUUGCACAAUGGGCGGAAGCCUGAUGCAGCAACGCCGCGUGCGGGAUGACGGCCUUCGGGUUGUAAACCGCUUUCGCCUGUGACGAAGCGGGAGUGACGGUAAUGGGUAAAGAAGCACCGGCUAACUACGUG